rnacentral:rRNA from 1 species
AACGAACGCUGGCGGCAGGCUUAACACAUGCAAGUCGAACGCCCCGCAAGGGGAGUGGCAGACGGGCGAGUAACGCGUGGGAACAUACCCUUUCCUGCGGAAUAGCUCUGGGAAACUGGAAUUAAUACCGCAUACGCCCUACGGGGGAAAGAUUUAUCGGGGAAGGAUUGGCCCGCGUUGGAUUAGCUAGUUGGUGGGGUAAAGGCCUACCAAGGCGACGAUCCAUAGCUGGUCUGAGAGGAUGAUCAGCCACAUUGGGACUGAGACACGGCCCAAACUCCUACGGGAGGCAGCAGUGGGGAAUAUUGGACAAUGGCGCAAGCCUGAUCCAGCCAUGCCGCGUGAGUGAUGAAGGCCUUAGGGUUGUAAAGCUCUUUCACCGAUGAGGAUAAUGACGGUAGUCGGAGAAGAAGCCCCGGCUAACUUCGUGCCAGCCGCCGCCGUAACAC